rnacentral:lncRNA from 1 species
CUGCAAAGGCGGAAAAUGCGUCAAGGCUUUCAGAGGAUGGACCGUGGGCUGGUUUUGGGCUCCAGGAUUCUAGAGGGGCCCUGAAGAAAGACGUCUUUCAUCUGUGCAUCACAAAGUGCUCUGAAAGCAUGAUUAACGAAGCUUCCCAACUCCCCAGACCGGCAGGCGUCCCACUGCCCUCUUCAGUCAAAGCUACAUGGUUGAGGCCAGCUCCCCAGGGAGUUACCAAAGUCUUCUCCUAUUUGCUGGCUGGUUGGAGAAACCAUUGA